UAGGGAAUCUUCGGCAAUGGGGGGAACCCUGACCGAGCAACGCCGCGUGAGUGAAGAAGGUUUUCGGAUCGUAAAGCUCUGUUAUUAAGGAAGAACGAGUGUGAGAAUGGAAAGUUCAUACUGUGACGGUACUUAACCAGAAAGGGACGGCUAACUACGUGCCAGCAGCCGCGGUAAUACGUAGGUGGCAAGCGUUGUCCGGAUUUAUUGGGCGUAAAGCGAGCGCAGGCGGUCAAUUAAGUCUGAUGUGAAAGCCCCCGGCUCAACCGGGGAGGGUCAUUGGAAACUGGUUGACUUGAGUGCAGAAGAGGAGAGUGGAAUUCCAUGUGUAGCGGUGAAAUGCGUAGAUAUAUGGAGGAACACCAGUGGCGAAGGCGACUCUCUGGUCUGUAACUGACGCUGAGGCUCGAAAGCGUGGGUAGCAAACAGG
rnacentral:rRNA from 1 species